AGAGCAGUGUUUUACGCAGAGCGUUAUGAAACAUGGGAGGAUGAUCAAAGCCCGCCCUACCACUAUAAUACACACUAUUCAACAGCAGCAUCUACUUUAUCCUGGCUUGUUCGAAUUGAACCUUUCACAACCUUCUUCCUCAAUGCAAAUGAAGGAAAAUUUGACCAUCCAGAUCGAACCUUCUCAUCAAUUACCAGGUCUUGGAGAACUAGUCAGAGAGAUACUUCUGACGUAAAGGAACUAAUUCCAGAGUUCUACUACCUACCAGAGAUGUUUGUCAACAGUAACGGAUAUCAUCUUGGAGUCAGAGAAGAUGAAGUAGUGGUAAAUGAUGUUGAUCUUCCCCCCUGGGCAAAAAAACCUGAAGACUUUGUACGAAUCAACAGGAUGGUAAGAGAGAUUUUUGUCUUUGCUCAAGCAAUC